rnacentral:rRNA from 1 species
AGAAUCAACGCUGGCGGCGUGCCUAACACAUGCAAGUCGAACGAGAAAGUGGAGCAAUCCAUGAGUAAAGUGGCGCACGGGUGAGUAACACGUGACUAACCUACCUUUUAGUGGGGGAUAACCUAGGGAAAACCUGGGCUAAUACCGCAUAACACUUACGAGUCAAAGCAGCAAUGCGCUGAAAGAGGGGGUCGCGGCCGAUUAGCUAGUUGGCGGGGUAAUGGCCCACCAAGGCAGUGAUCGGUAUCCGGCCUGAGAGGGCGCACGGACACACUGGAACUGAAACACGGUCCAGACUCCUACGGGAGGCAGCAGUGGGGAAUUUGCGCAAUGGGGGAAACCCUGACGCAGCAACGCGCGUGGAGGAUGAAGUCCCUUGGGACGUAAACUCCUUUCGAUCGGGACGAUAAUGACGGUACCGGAAGAAGAAGCCCCGGCUAACUUCGCGCCAGCAGCCGC